AAACGAGGAGCUUCUUUCAGAUUUGUAAUGGCAAGGAGGAAGACAACUAAUGCCAUGGAGUAAUGGAUAUAAAAGAGCAGCACUGGAGUGAAUGGACACUGGCUCAUGAUGUUAGAUCAACUUGCUAUUUUCUUAAAACUCUGACCCUUGUAAUAUGAGAGGGAAGAAGUUUAUUUGUGCACCGUACCACCCUCAGCAUACCCAUCUUUUAUCCAGUCAGUCUUCACCAGAAGUGCUCAGCAGUUGACACACCUGCUGUAAGAGAAAAAAAUCACAUUCCUUAUUACUGAGAAAAAUUCACUGCAGUCUAUGAGCCCCAAACCCCAAUGGCAUUCAAAGUGGGCCUGGAGACAGCAGAGGAUCAGUGAACUAAGUUUAAAGAACAAAAAUUGAAUAGAAAGCAUGAACAUUUUUCUGGGAAGAAAGUAAUGCAUUGAACAAUUCCAUGGAAUUAAAUUCAAGAUCUGUUUGUUAUGGAAGAUAUCACAAGAAUCUACAAGAUUUUCAGGCAAACAACUCGAGCCACUGACACAGGGAUCCUGUACUUCAGUACAGUACCAAAUGCCUGGUGCCAGUAAUGCUGCUGCUUCAGAAGGAAAG